UACGGAAGGGGCUAGAGUUGAUCGGAAUUACUGGGCGUAAAGAGAGCGUAGGCGGCUUACCAAGUUGGGGGUGAAAUCCCGGAGCUCAACUCCGGAACUGCCUUCAAAACUGGUAGGCUCGAGUCCGGAAGAGGGGCGUGGAAUUCCCAGUGUAGAGGUGAAAUUCGUAGAUAUUGGGAAGAACACCGGUGGCGAAGGCGGCGCCCUGGUCCGGUACUGACGCUGAGGCGAGAAAGCGUGGGGAGCAAACAGG
rnacentral:rRNA from 1 species